GCAGGCUCACUCUGUACUGAACUGCAGCCUUCAGUUCAGAUGCUUUUUCCGUCUGCAAGAGUAAUAGUUCACAGGAGUGACAACUGUCUUCUUCCCUGUAGAAGGCAGUUACAAGUGCUGUUGGGACAUUCCC